CAAACCCUGCUAUGUUUGUGACAGCCGUUUAAAGUUUUGAGCUAACACAUAUGAAGCGGGAGUCUGGGCUCUGAAUGUGGCACAUAAGCCUUGCCAUAAGGACAUGUAAAGCAUUCAGGAGGACACCCACCUGUAGAGAGAGCAGUUCAAAACUAACGGUAUACACGGCAUGGUGGGGUUUUC
rnacentral:other from 1 species